rnacentral:rRNA from 1 species
AGUUUGAUCAUGGCUCAGGAUGAACGCUAGCUACAGGCUUAACACAUGCAAGUCGAGGGGCAUCAUUGGGAUAGCUUGCUAUUCAGAUGGCGACCGGCGCACGGGUGAGUAACGCGUAUCCAACCUUCCCUUAGUAGGGCAUAGCCCGGCGAAAGUCGGAUUAAUACCCUAUGUUGUAUAUUGAGGACAUCUGAUUUAUACCAAAGAUUCAUCGCUAAGGGAUGGGGAUGCGUCCGAUUAGGUAGUCGGCGGGGCAACGGCCCACCGAGCCGUCGAUCGGUAGGGGUUCUGAGAGGAAGGUCCCCCACACUGGUACUGAGACACGGACCAGACUCCUACGGGAGGCAGCAGUGAGGAAUAUUGGUCAAUGGGCGAGAGCCUGAACCAGCCAAGUAGCGUGCCAGGAAGACGGCCCUAUGGGUUGUAAACUGCUUUUAUCAGGGGAUAAAGUGAGGGACGUGUCCCUUAUUGCAGGUACCUGAUGAAUAAGGACCGGCUAAUUCCGUGCCAGCCGCAGC